AAGGUGGAUUUAUUAGUAAUUAUAUUUUAAUAAUGUGUGAUGGAGAAUGGAAUAGCAUGUGUACAUAUUGCCCGUCGCUCUCGUUGUUUCGAGAUAAGUCGUAACAUAGUUGAUGUACUGGAAAGUGCAUCUUUUUG
rnacentral:rRNA from 1 species